rnacentral:rRNA from 1 species
UACGUAGGGAGCAAGCGUUAUCCGGAUUUAUUGGGUGUAAAGGGUGCGUAGACGGGGAAUCAAGUUAGUUGUGAAAUCCCUCGGCUUAACUGAGGAACUGCAACUAAAACUAAUUUUCUUGAGUGCUGGAGAGGUUAAUGGAAUUCCUAGUGUAGCGGUGGAAUGCGUAGAUAUUAGGAGGAACACCGGUGGCGAAGGCGGCUUACUGGACGACAACUGACGCUGAGGCUCGAAAGCGUGGGGAGCAAACAGG